rnacentral:tRNA from 1 species
GCAGAGGUUGCCCAGCUUGGUCAAAGGCGCUGGGAUGAGGUCCCAGUCCAUAUCGGUUCGCAGGUUCAAAUCCUGCCCUCUGCA